AGAAGGAAAUGGCAACCCACUCCAGUAUUCUUCCUCAGGAAAUCCCAUGGACAGAGGAGCCCGUUCUGGAGGUUGGAAGUCGGAAGCGAGUAAGGCUAACAUCAAGGUGCGUGCAGGGCUGGGUCUUCGUGGCGGCUCUGUGGAAAGCUCCGUCUCUCACCUCUUCCAGCUUGACGAUGCGCGCGGUCCCUUCCGCCAUCUUUAAAGCCAGGUGCCUGCUAUUUUCUGACAGCCGGCCCGCCUCUUCUAAGACGCUCGUGAUUACAUUGGGCCCACCUGGAUCAUCCGAGCUCCUCUCCCCAUCUCCAGACAUUAAUUACACC
ensembl:lncRNA